GCAGCACGCAACACACGGCCAACACACGCUACAUCUAUCUCCCAUCCGGAUCCCUCGCGACCUCCUCCUGGAAGACCGACGCCGACGUCCACGUCCUGCUCCUCCCUUCCCAACGCAAGCUCUUCCUCUCUCCAUUCUCCGUUGUUGAUGUCGCCCUGCUUCCUAGAUGGACCAUGGCGGCGGGUCAGGCUCGGUGCGUGAGCUCCUAGCCACCGGCCGGAACCCUAGCCGCCGGUCAAAAUCCUAGCCACCGGCUGAAGGGGUGGCCGCACUUCUUCUCCGCCGACCAGAUCAAUUGUGGAUGGCCGUCCUUCUUCUUCUCCAGUCAGAUGCACGGUGAGUCGGCUGCCCUUCUUCUCCUCUGGCCAGAUCCACGACAUGGCAGCGAACUCCAGGACGCGGUGGCACCGGCUGCAGUAGCAGGUUUGUUGUUCCCUCUCUUUUUCCCCUCUCUCUUGCAGGCUGUGCGAUGGAUCUAUGGGUGGUGGAUCUGGUGUGGCGGGGUCUCCGCAUGGUGGUGGCUCUCCGGAUUCGGUCCACAAAAUCUUGGAAGGUAAAAUGACAAUGCAUACAAAGUUUUGCUAUCAUGAUUAGUUUAGAAGAUGGUUUUGUACGGCAGAUGGUAGAUCUAGAGCAGAUGGUGUGUUGUCAGAUUUUUUUUUGUUCCUAGUUGCCGUAUGUAGAGCAACUGGUAUGGAUAUUGAUAGAUUUUUUACUACUGCCUUAUGAUUCCUUUAACUAAUGUAAAAAAUAAUGAUAAAGCAAAGAAAGGAUAUGUGCUAUUUUGUAUUUUAGUGUAGCUUUAUAAUGUUAUUAUCCGAUCUAUUUUCUGCUUGAAUUCCAAUCACUAUGUCUGGCUGUAAAUUUGGUGGUUCAGUGCUAAUCACUAUGUGUGGCAUUAAAUAUCAAAGAUAUAUGAUGCUCUUGAUAUGCACUUGGCCAUAUAUGUUGAAGACAAUGUCUGGCAAUAGUUCGUAUAAAUUUGAGAAUUAUUUUAUUGUGUGGAAAAAAUGCAUAUCAUACCAGCACUAAUCAAGUGCACUUGUUCUUUGUUGUGCACUUUUCUGCAACUUUUAGGUAUAUGUACUUGGGGUACAGGAGAAUAAAGGAGGCUUAAUCUGGCUGGUCUGGUCUUUGAAGAUUGAAAUCAGGUUCAUAGUCAAUAUUGGUCUGGUAUUAUACCUUUGCUGGUCCGUGAAUAUUGGGAUCAAUUGCUUCUUUUUUUGUGCCUUGAUGAAGUGGUUGAAUAGUGUUUUCUUUGCCAGUUUCAUGUGGAGGAAUCCAUUCAGUAUUGGAAAAUUAAGAUGGCAGAAUAUAUUCUGGAAUUACUAUUUUCUUGCCAGGUGCUCACUACUUGUAAGUAUUUUCAAGGUCUAUACUAGGAUAUGUAGAUGGUCCUUGGGUCAUUUGACCAUCUUUGUUGCUAUUUUAGAAGAGCCUUAAAAGUAGCUAAUUUAUAUUCUCUCCAUCCAUAGUCACAUUAUAUUAUUGUUUGUAUAUACUUGAAAUUAUGUGGUAUUUGCCUCUAUAAUUUGUGUGUUGAUCAGCGGCACGCAGGCGGACUGAUCUGGUCUGAAAAUAUCCAUAAUGUUCUCCUUGUUGGGAUCCUAGUGAAGGCUUAUUAAGGUGAUUACACUAUUAGUUCAAUGCUUAUGAAAAUGCUAUGAUCAGAUACACAACUACUGAUUCUGACGGUAACAUAUCAGGCUAGCUAGGAGCAUAGAAAUUUUGGUCCUUGUCGCUACUAUUUUAGUGUCCCAUUCUAGAGGCUGGACCAUCUUACAACAUAUGCCUUUCUAAGGCUACCAAAUAAUAAAGCAAUUGAGCAUUCACAACUUUCUGAUUGCAGAGAUGGGCCACUAAGGUGCAAAAAACACCUGCACUUUUCUCCUUGCAUCAAACGUAUGACACCCAGUUUCCCUUUGAUGGAUAAAUAAAGUUAGCUGAUCAUGUAAAUAUCAUAUGAGGUAAGUAUAAUAGGGUUGGUGAUAUGGGAGGCAGAUUCAUUUGAGGCCUCCACCACAGCUUCUCUAGACCCUGCUUAAGAGCUAAUAGAAGCCUAUAUUCGGUCCUAAUGCUUAAACCAACAAACAGGUUCAUAUUAAAAUCUUGGGGAACAGAACUAACCUAAUGAUGGGUUUUAUGCAAAACUGAUGUGCCAGAUGGUUGGGCUCUUAGGGAUCCUACUAAUUUUCAGUUCUCGAGCCCCUAGUGAACAUUAGGUUACUUUUAGCCAAAGAGAGUAGGCUGUUGCCAUCUAUGCUUGGGGUGUGCUUGGUCUGAAGCGUUGCAAAUGACUGUUCGGCAUCAUUCUGGUGAUGUAUUUUUUGGUGUGUUGAUUUCACCGUUUGCUAGUACUAACUUCUCAUGAACGAGAUAUGCAGAUUGAUUGAUGUCCGAGCUGCAGUAUGCGUUGUUUCCUUCCAAUCAGGCCGCUGAUGCACCUUUUGGGACUGCUGAUGCUUGGCCUGCCCUACCAAUAAUGACCCCCUGAUGUAGACUUCAGUUUUGCAGGUUAUCAUUGCUUUGAGUCUGGUGCAACCAGUUUCGUUGCCCUUCGGUGUGCAACCGUGCGUCAUUCCCUGAUCCAACUAGAAUUAUAGCUAUUCAGCGGCGCAUUAGGCAGUGAACUUCUGCACUGCAGUUUUUGCGUGUGUCAUACGUUUGAUGUGAGUAAAAUACCUGAUGCUUCUGUGCACCUGUGAGUACAUUUGAGCAGGACAAUAGUUGGUCAUGAGUCAUCUUUACUUCUUUAGUUAUCUCGGUUAUGUGUAGUUCUAAACCUGAGACGCUACUAUAUCUGAACCUGAUACUAUUGUAGAACCUGAGACUAUGAUCCUUAUCUGAAACUUUAUAGGUAGAACUAUCUCAUCGAGUAGUUCUUGCGGAACACUCUUCCAUUGUGAUCUUGUAGCAAUAAUAUAAGCCAAGAUAAGAAAAAGAUAACCAAAUAUCCACUAAUUGUUCUGAAAAUAAAUAGUUUUGUAUUUGAGGCUGUUAUCUGUAUACUAGAAUUGAAUAUGAAAGUUUUAAUACUCCUCCACAUUGCAACUUAUAUAUAGUAUAUUAUAUUCGAAAAUAUAUUUGGCUACACACAAGAUACGUUUUUUCACGUAACUUCAGAAGGAUUUUCAAUUUUUAUUUAAAAAUUAGACAAAAUAAUCAAACCACAUAAAUUAUCUGCUCCAAUCAUGUAAUCUGUUAUCCUGCUCUAAUGCUCCAAUUGUGAGUCAAGAAUAUGUCACUGCUUGGAGGGAUAUCUAUCUACAUAUCUUUAAUUUUUUACUGUUCUGAAAUAAGUGUUGUUCCAGUUUUGAAAACGUUUCCUAAUUUUUGACUUCAAGAUGUUACAGUUGAUUGGAGAUAUGCCUUGCUAAGUUCAUUUGUUCUGAAAAUAUUUGGUGUAGUGAGAUCAUAUAUGAAUAGAUUAUUAUAACUGUUGUUUGAUUUGUUCCAGCUUACAUAUGUGACGUUCCUUUUUGACUUUUUUCAUUUGUUUCAACGAGUGAUGUUUGUUUCUGAUGUAUUUUCUACAGGACAUGGAGAAAUUCUAGCAACCUAAGGUACUCACUCAUGCUCCUGACACCAAGAAGACCUAGCUGCCAGCACCUAUUGAGCUAUUAGUUUGGUGACUAAGGUCACUUGUGAGAUAGGGAUGUGAGGUUUCAUUUAUUUACUUUAUCUGAGAUAUCUUUGUGACUAAGGUCACUUGUUGAACUAUAGUUUCAUGUUCAUGAUGAAUAUAGUAAAUAUGUUGAUGAAUGACUUGUGAACCUAUUGAUUUGGCCAUGAAUGGAAUAUAUUGUUGAAC
rnacentral:lncRNA from 1 species